rnacentral:tRNA from 1 species
AACAGGGUGGCUCAGUGGAAAGAGCAUGGGCUUGGGAGUCAGAGGUCAUGGGUUUGAAUCCCAGCUCUGCCA